AUUAUUUCACCUACAGCACAACAGAAGCAUCAAGGCAGUAUCUUCCCUGCAGCUAGGGCUGUGAUCUUCCUACAAGAGCAUUGCUCUGUCCCUUCUGUUUUGUGAUACUUUCUCACGGACACACUUCACUGCUCAGAACACUGGUCCUAUUUUGCUGUAUCUGAUUUCUGAAGAAACCUUCUGUCCUGGAGCUUUUCUUGUUCCAAGAGGAUCCUCUUGAAGAUGGCGUAAGUGAAUUCUGCUGCCAAAAGAAGUCAGCCUCGCUGUUUUUGCUGAACAGAUCCCUGAACCUGUCUGGACCCCUUGGUCUUGCACAGCACCGACAACAAUUCCACACUGCUGUCUCCUGGGGAAGUUUCAAUCUGAUGUGUCUGAAUAAGUCUGCGCUGCAAAGCUGCUGGCAACAGAGAACUCCAUCUGCAUUACCAGAUUUAAUUCCCAGUUUCCAAGCGGUGGAAGUUGAGUUGCAGCAGGUAGGAAGAAGGAGUGCUGCUAAUUAAAUAACAGAGGGGGAGCAUGGAUUUUUUUGCACCUAGUGCUUCACAACACUGUACUGCCUAUGCAGCUGAUCCAAAUGGAUCCAAAGCACAGCGGCUUCUCUGACAACUCCAAUCAAGGCUGGAGAUUCCCAGGAACAUUUCAGUAGAACACUACUGGCUUCAAUAGGCUAGGGCAAAACUGCCCAACAUUCACCCACUAAGAAAUGUAAUAAUGGUAGGGGCCUUUUUUCACUCCCCCUUCUUUUUCUACCUGUUCUUGAGAUAAAUAACGUGUAAAAAAUGGAAAAUAGGCAAGGAUGUGUGCAUAGACGAAGGAGAUAAAAUGUGAUUUAGAGGAGAAAGGAAAAUUGGAGGAGUUUGGAGAAAGGAAGGAGCUAGCAAUUAAAUCUUGCUCUGUUUGUCUCGUAGUUGUAAUGAUCUGGAAAGAGGGGGUGGAAAGAACAAGGAAGAGAUCAAGGAGCUUAGAGUAAUUAAUUAAUUCAUUGUUUGGAUUGUCUCCUGUUUUUCAGCAUAGUAAAAGAAAUCAAGAUUAAAAAUAAAAAUGAAAGUGAGAGAAAGUUAUUAGAAUAAUUAACUCAUAAUUACUCUGUUGUGCUAAUCUGUUUUUGUUCUAACUAAAAAAAAAGGGAGUCCAAUAAAUCCUACUUCAUCAUGUUAUUUAGCAAUUCUUUUUUUUUUUUUUUCCAAAGUAAAAGCUUUUGAAGUGUGCAAUUAAAUGCCAUUU
ensembl:lncRNA